rnacentral:tRNA from 1 species
CCGGGUGUGGCUGAGACAGUUAAGCGACUCCCUUACACCGAGGAUACAUUCAUGCAAGUUGGAUCGCCCGGA